rnacentral:rRNA from 1 species
CGGACGGGUGAGUAACACGUGGAUAACCUACCUAUAAGACUGGGAUAACUUCGGGAAACCGGAGCUAAUACCGGAUAAUAUAUUGAACCACAUGGUUCAAUAGUGAAAGACGGUUUUGCUGUCACUUAUAGAUGGAUCCGCGCCGCAUUAGCUAGUUGGUAAGGUAACGGCUUACCAAGGCAACGAUGCGUAGCCGACCUGAGAGGGUGAUCGGCCACACUGGAACUGAGACACGGUCCAG